rnacentral:lncRNA from 10 species
CAGAAGUGGACGCUGAGUCAUGCUGAAGUUAUAUAAUGCACUCAGCUCACAUGGCUGGUAGCACUUGAGGCAGGGAUCUGGACACAGACGGCUUGACUCCGGAGCUCCUCUCAACCACAAGCCAAUGUCAACAAGCCUCCACCAUGAAGGUCCUGAAUGAUAUGAAUAAAAUAGCAUUCGCGGCAGAGUGAUCUCCUUGGAUCUCCUGAGUGGCCCAUUUGGCAGUGGGUGAGGAACUUGGGGCUC